rnacentral:rRNA from 1 species
GACGGGGACCCGCACAAGCGGUGGAUGAUGUGGUUUAAUUCGAUGCAACGCGAAAAACCUUACCCACCUUUGACAUGGCAGGAAGUUUCCAGAGAUGGAUUCGUGCCCGAAAGGGAACCUGCACACAGGUGCUGCAUGGCUGUCGUCAGCUCGUGUCGUGAGAUGUUGGGUUAAGUCCCGCAACGAGCGCAACCCUUGCCAUUAGUUGCUACGAAAGGGCACUCUAAUGGGACUGCCGGUGACAAACCGGAGGAAGGUGGGGAUGACGUCAAGUCCUCAUGGCCCUUAUAGGUGGGGCUACACACGUCAUACAAUGGCUGGUACAGAGGGUUGCCAACCCGCGAGGGGGAGCUAAUCCCAUAAAGCCAGUCGUAGUCCGGAUCGCAGUCUGCAACUCGACUGCGUGAAGUCGGAAUCGCUAGUAAUCGCGGAUCAGAAUGUCGCGGUGAAUACGUUCCCGGGUCUUGUACACACCGCCCGUCACACCAUGGGAGCGGGUUCUGCCAGAAGUAGGUAGCCUAACCGUAAGGAGGGCGCUUACCACGGCAGGGUUCGUGACUGGGGUGAAGUCGUAACAAGGUAACCAAGGGC